CGAGCGACUUCAGUCGCGGAGCCGGAGACCCGCGCCCUCGCGAGAGCAGAACAGAGAAAAGCGGUAUGUGUUUCGCUUGGCAGGAAAACACUUGCUUUCAAGACUCCACUUCCAAAAUGCACAAGUGUCUGGGCUGUUCAGCAAGCCGGCCUUAGUUUUUCCCUCUUAACGCGGUAGCACGUAAUUGAGAACAAAAAAAAGCAGCCCCUGACAUCCAGGAACUGGCCUGACACUUACAGCCUUUCAGGUAGUCCUCCUGUUUCCAGGCCUCACCUUCAGAACCUGGCACCUCUGGUUUCUGAAAGGGGAAGAUGACUGUUUCCGGGCUUCCCUUGAGUUCAGGUUCAGGUUUCCUCUGCUACAUCAAUGAGCAGUGAGGUGCCAGGAGAGAGGAAGAAUUAACUUCUCUGCUCAACGUGCCAUGCUUAUCUAGCAGAAUCACCCCCGUCUCUUCAAGGACCUGUGAUUCCUCAACUAUUUUUCCUUAUACCUUCUUCCCAUCUCACUCCCAAAUAUAUAGUGACAUUCAUACUUUUGUUCAAGGAACAUGAACUGAAUGUCUACCAUGUGUGGGUGCUGGGACUUGAAUUGUGAUCAAGCUACAAUCCCUGACUACUCUACAAGAGGUUCCAGUCUGGAGGAGGCAAGCACUUGGAGACGUAAGGAGUGCAAAGCACAGCAUGUGCACGACGCCAGGGCAGCGUAGGGGAAAGGUUACUUCUCUUCUUGGGGCAUCAGAGAAGACUCCCCAGAGGGAGAGGUGUUUAAACAGAUUUCAAGAGAAAGUGAGAAUUGGUCCUACCAAACGCAUCUGUGCCCCAACAAGAUGGCAUGAAGAGCCAGAGACCUUCACAGAACCCAGGCAUCCAACCUCCCCCCUGCCCCCUCAUCCCUGCUCUGGGGGACUCCAAUGGGUGUUCUCUGUGUCCUUGAUACUCCCUCUGAGUGUGAAGAAGGCAGGAAUUGCCCGAGACUCGAAUGGUCUACUACCUGUAGGAAAUGUGGGUGGGGAGAUGGAUAGAGACUUUAUUUUCUGGUCAGGGACUGCAGUCUGCUCAUUUUCCAUCCCUUUCCCCAAAUUUCUGGUCAUUUAGUUUGAAUUCUUUACUUCUCUCUCAAGCUGUAACCCAGACCAUGUACCUCAACUGCUCAUCUGUCAGGAGAGCAGGAGGGGCACCGAGGAUCCUAUUCAAGGCCCAGCUUCUCCAAAGGAGUUACACUUGUAAGAAGAAAUUAAACAGAUUUGAUCUUGUUAGUUUAUUGAAUAAAUCAAUCCUGGGUAAAGAAAAAACAGAACGAGCUUUGGGGACAGAGGUUGGGGAAGUGAGAGAAUCCCCCGGCCCCUGUGGUGUGGGUAGAGGGGUCACUUGUAAAACUCAUGCUCCUGUUCGUCCUUCUUGAUGACUGUCUUGUACGCUUUCUCGAAGUCCUUGGCCAGAACAAUGUAGCGGUUCUCUCGGACAGCCAACAUGCCGCUCUGUUGAGGGAUGAGAGUUAAAAUCUACUCCCUGCACUCCCCGCCCCUAGUGAUGGUGCAGGAAGAGACAGACGCAGCCUAAGACCCAGGGAGGCAAUGAUGGACAGGACUGCGGCAGAGUGGAGGGUCUUCACACACCCCCUGCCCAAUCUAGAGAGAAACCAUCACUCACCUCCUGACAGAUGGAGUUGAUAUCAGCUCCUGAAAUCUUAUCUGGUCGGGCCACAUCUAUGGCAGGUGAGUUAAGGAAACCACUCCACGCAUGACUGGGUGAAUGCCUGGAGCUAGAAGUCAUUCUUGGGCUGUCUUUGUCACCAUCCCCCUCCCCAGACCUUGGUCUCCCACCUGCACAAUCUGGGUGGGGGUGAUGGCAGGGGUGGAGAUCUAAUCCCCAUUCUCAACGGUGACCCUCCCCUCGCUUCUAAGUCAGGAUACAAUCUUCCAAGUCAACCUCCUCAGAGAGGUUCAUCUUGCUGGUGAUAGUGGAGAAAAUCAAUCUCUUCUGGCGGCGGUCAGGGAGUGGAAAUUCAAUUUUACGGUCAAGGCGUCCCGGCCGCAGCAGAGCAGGAUCCAGGGUGUCUGCUCUGUUUGUGGCCAUGAUCACCUGGCAUUGGGGACAGGCCAGCUCAGACCUCUGUCCCCACUAUACUCUCCAUCCUGUUGCAAUACCUAUCUCCUCACAUGCCAGCCUCCAUCCUUCCCUGAUUCCCACAACCACACCUCCCCUUGCCCAUCCUGAACCCCAAACCUUGACAUUGACGUUCUGGUCAAAUCCAUCCAUUUGAUUCAGUAGCUCCAGCAGGAUUCUCUGAACCUCCCUGUCAGCUGGAUAGUAUAUAACACGGUCAGUCCAGGGCAUCCCGCAUGACAAGCCUGCCCAAGACCCCAGGCCCUGGGACUUCCCUGGUGGCACAGUGGUUAAUAAUCCGCCUGCCAGUGCAGAGGACACGGGUUCAAGCCCCGGUCCAGGAAGAUCCCACGUGCCGCGGAGCAACUAAGCCCGUGCGCCACAACUGAGCCUGCGCUCUAAGGCCUGCGAGUCACAACUACUGAGCCCACACGCUGCAACUACUGAAGCCUGUGCGCCUAGAACCAGUGCUCUGCAGCAAGAGAAGCCUCUGCAAUGAGAAGCCUGGGCACCGCAACGAAGAGUAGCCCCUGCUCGCCGCAGCUAGAGAAAGCCCACACGCAGCAACGAAGCCCCAACGCAGCCAAAAAAAUUAAUUCAUUUAAAAAAAAAAAAAAACCCCAGGCCCUGUUUGGGCAUCACUCACCCCCUGUCUGGGCAUCGAAUCUCUUGGUUGCAAUGGCAUCAAUCUCAUCUAUGAAGAUGAUGGCAGGUGCGUUCUCCUUGGCCAGGCGGAACACAUCCCGGACCAUGCGAGGGCCCUCACCCAGGUACUUCUGUACAAACUCUGAGCCCACAACUCGGAUGAAUGCAGCUGAUGGCAGGAUGACAGGGGUUAGAUGAGAAUGGGACACCUGUAGGACCCCAUAAUACUUUAACUGAAACUGAGAAUUCCUUGAGGACAUCUCUUUCUUUGGAUACCCACUCCAAGUAGCCAGGUCAUUCUCUCAUGACCUGGGCUGGGUCCCAGAUCCAGCCAGGAGGACCAGCUUGUACCCCACAGAGACCCAGCAGCCCAAAUCAUGAAUCCUGCCUCCGGAUGUGUCAAUUUUUGGCCCAACAUUUAAAAAUCAGGGUAUUAAAAAAAAAUGUGUCUGUGCUUCAACAUACCGACAAAGUAGAGCUAGAGACAUUCGUGGAAUCCAACAUACCAAAAAAUGUGAAUUUCCGGAGUGCUUGAAAAAUCAGUAAGAAAACAGGUUUUCCAUACACAGGCAUCAUGCUGCCUCACCAAGAGCUCAAAGGACCCACUUUUGAAUAUCAUGCAAGAGUCAGGAACCAGGAAUACAUACUCUGACAUAAUCAACAAGUGGCAAUGGGGUUAAAGACAGGUUUGCUCUGGGCUUGCCACUCCUUUCCAUCUUUUCUUAGAGUUUAACUUGUUAGUGACUGGAUGUGGCUUUGUGUUGCACGGAGCAACCUCCAGGACACUCCUUCCGGCCACCACAGAGAAAGGAGACACAAAGUCCAUUAUGUAGAUCUGGUCAUAAACUAGGAGUUGUGCAAGUUGCAGCCCUGUCCCUCUCUAAUGUGGUGGCCACUGGCCACAAGUAGCUACUGAGCAACCGAAAUGUGGCUGGUCCAAAAUGAGAUGUGCUGUAAAUGUGAAAUACACACCAGACUUCAAAAGACAGUACAAAAAAAGUAAAAUAUCUCAAUAAAUGUCCAUCAACAAAUGAAUAGAUAAAGUGUGCUAUAUACAUACAAUAGAAUAUUAUUUGGAAUAUUAUUUGGCCUUCAAAAGGAAAUAAAUUCUGGCACAUGUUUCAACAUGGGUAAGCCCCAAAGACAUUAUGCUAAGGGAAAUAAGCCAGUCACAAAAAGACAAAUACUGUAUGAUUCAUCCAUGUAUAUAAGGUGCCCAGAAUAGGCAAAUUCAUAGAGACAGAAAGUAGAAUAGAGGUUAUCAGGGCUGCGGGGAGGGAGAAAUAGGGAAUGAUUGUUUAAUGGGUAUGGAGUUACAGUUUGGAUGAUGAACAAGUCUCAGAAGUGGAUAGUGGUGAUGGCUGUACAACACUGUGAAUCCACUUAAUGCCACUUAUAAACUGUAUAUUUAUAAAGUGGUUAAAAUGGUAAAUUUUAUGCUAUAUAUAUUUUACUACAAUAAAAAAUUAUAGAAAAAACUCAAGUUUUGUAUCU